rnacentral:lncRNA from 1 species
CACAGGUGAGAGAGUUUGAGUGCACAGGUGUGCGUGCGUGUGAGCGUGCGUGCGUGCGUGCGAGAAGGUCAGAGUGCGCCGCGUGUCCGUGAGUGAAAGUGCGCGUUUUUGUGUUCAGAUGGAGGACGCCCCCAGCUCCCAGAAGAGCGGGCGACUUUCUUCCUCUCACGACUUGGGGAGAGGAGGAGGAGGACCGUUUCCGACGUGGACAGGUUUCGGCGUCUUAGGGGUGAGAGCAGCUGUUUUCACAAUGUUGCCUGUUGAAGAAUCCAGGCCCGUUGUCUCAUGGAAGGUCCACGUCCAGGAUCUGCCUGUGUUUCCUUACAAUGUCAUUGAACUUGUUCCUCUGGCCCCUGUAUUGCCUAUAAACUUGAAGGUAGGCCUGGCGACUUGAUUAGAUACUUCUUAGCCCAUCUGGGGGAGACUAACCCAUGGGCAGGGCUCCCUUGGUGCUGACCUGGAGGCCCUCAGGAGGUUGCCCACCACAGUCCCAUGUCAUGCUGAGUUGCUGACAGCUGGGUCUCCUCAUUGUAAGGGGUCAGUUUCCUUGAAGGGAAAUGUUUGUCCUAUCCUGUCUCUC